AUUGAACGCUGGCGGCAUGCUUUACACAUGCCAGUCGAACGGCAGCGCGGGCUUCGGCCUGGCGGCGAGUGGCGAACGGGUGAGUAAUACAUCGGAACGUGCCCAGUAGUGGGGGAUAGCUCGGCGAAAGCCGGAUUAAUACCGCAUACGACCUGAGGGUGAAAGCGGGGGAUCUUCGGACCUCGCGCCAUUGGAGCGGCCGAUGGCAGAUUAGCUAGUUGGUGGGGUAAAGGCCUACCAAGGCGACGAUCUGUAGCUGGUCUGAGAGGACGACCAGCCACACUGGGACUGAGACACGGCCCAGACUCCUACGGGAGGCAGCAGUGGGUAAUUUUGGACAAUUGGCGAAAGCCUGAUCCAGCAAUGCCGCGUGUGUGAUGAAGGCCUUCGGGUUGUAAAGCACUUUUGGCGGGAACGAAAAGGACUGUGCCAAUACCACGGUUCGAUGACGGUACCCGCAGAAUAAGCACCGGCUAACUACGUG
rnacentral:rRNA from 1 species